GACGAACGCUGGCGGCGUGCUUAACACAUGCAAGUCGAACGGAAAGGCCCUGCUUUUGUGGGGUGCUCGAGUGGCGAACGGGUGAGUAACACGUGAGUAACCUGCCCUUGACUUUGGGAUAACUUCAGGAAACUGGGGCUAAUACCGGAUAGGAGCUCCUGCUGCAUGGUGGGGGUUGGAAAGUUUCGGCGGUUGGGGAUGGACUCGCGGCUUAUCAGCUUGUUGGUGGGGUAGUGGCUUACCAAGGCUUUGACGGGUAGCCGGCCUGAGAGGGUGACCGGCCACAUUGGGACUGAGAUACGGCCCAGACUCCUACGGGAGGCAACAGUGGGGAAUAUUGCACAAGGGGCGGAAGCCUGAUGCAGCAACGCCGCGUGCGGGAUGACGGCCUUCGGGUUGUAAACCGCUUUCGCCUGUGACGAAGCGUGAGUGACGGUAAUGGGGAAAGAAGCACCGGCUAACUACGU
rnacentral:rRNA from 1 species